UGGGGAGAGGCUGCAAUUUUUUAGGGGGGAAGAGGCUGCGAUUUUUGAUUUUUUUUGGGGAGGGAAUUUGUUUGGUAUUUACUUUUUGUUUUAAGGGUAUCUUAGUCCUUUCAACCUCAAAAUGGGUACAUUUUAUAUGUUUAAUUUUGGGUGGAUACAUUUUAUGUUUCCUUUUUCAAAUAGGGUAAAAAACACCAUUAACCCUAAUUAGAAUCAUCCUUUCGGUGGAAAAUAAGAACCAUUCU
rnacentral:lncRNA from 1 species